GUUUUUUUAAAGCGGGACGUAAAUAGCUUAACAUACUUUGUAAAGUCUCAUCCAUUGAUAAUGUCCGUCUGUUGCUAAUUUUAUCCCAAAAUAUUCCUCAGAGGUAUUCUUAUCGUUCGGCUGCUGUCCUAUUGACGUAUGCACAAUAUCUCCAAUUAUUUAAAUCCCUCUGGAUCAUAGUGGGUUUCAUAUUACCUAUUAGUUUUUUUUUCUAAAACGUGUCUUGUUGAUAUAAAAAUAAGAAGAUGAGGUAUGCGUGCCAAAUGAGACAUCUUUCCAUCCAAGACACAAUCUUGUUAAGUAAGCAAUUUUAGGUUCAAUGCUGAAAGGUAAGCUACAAAAGGUCC
rnacentral:lncRNA from 1 species